CUCCCAAAGUGCUGGGAUUACAGGCGUGAGUCACCGUGCCCGGCCAGUUUAUAGGUUUAGAAACUGAAACUCUGGCUGUGGAGCUAGGAAGCAGCUUGCCCAGGAGGCAAAUGCAGGCCUGAUUCCAAGGCCCGGGCGCGGAGCUGCCAAGCUUUAUGGGUCCAGAGUCACUGGCAAGUCCUAAUAAUAGUAAUAAUUUACUGUAUGCCUCGCCUGCAUCAUUCUAAGUACCUUUCCGAUGCUGUCUCACACACAGGCUUCAACCACUCUGCCUUCCAGGAAGAGCUGGUAGUGUUUAAGAGUCUAGUCCAGAACACUGUCUCAACAGCAUCAUUAGAUCAGGGCUCCUAAUCCCUAGAACCCUGUGUAACACUGCAACCCUGGCCAGGCAUAGUGGUUCAAGCCUGUAAUUCCAGCACUUUUGGAGGCCAAGGUGAGAGGAUUGCUUGAGCCCAGGAGUUCGAGACCAGCCUAGGCAACAUAGUAAGAACCUAUCUUUACAAAAAACAAAAAAUUAGCCAGGCAUGGUGGUGAGCACCUGUAGUCCCAGCUCCUGGGGAGGCUGAGGCGGGAAGAUUAAUUGAGCCCGGGAGUUUGAGGCUGCAGUGAGCUAUGAUCACACCACUACACUCCAGCCUGGGUGACAGAGUGAGACCCUGUCUCCAAAUAUAUAAAUGCUCCCCUGCCUCCCUGUGGGGAUAGAUAGGGUAAGAGAACCCACUCAGAAAGAAAGGUUAAGAUGGCCUGGGUGGCUGUGGUACCCCAGGAGACUAAAAAAAGUUACGGUGAGAAAUGCUUGGACUGCAACUCUUGGUAAAAUCUGAUGCUGGCAGGUGGGCAUUUUGGAAAAUAAGUCCUUGGGGUGAUUCUCCUAGAGAUGGGCCUAGCUUGACAACAGGUAACAGAGCUGUGACGUCAGCUGAGCUCUGGCGGUUCUCACACUGCAGGAUUCCAACUACAAACCUAGACCGGGGAGGAACAGGCUCAGAAGUAGGUUUUCGCCGGGUGCAGUGGCUCAUGCUUGUAAUCCUAGCACUUUGGGAGGCCGAGGUGGGUGGAUCACAAGGUCAGGAGUUCGAGACCAGCCUGGCCAAGAAGGUGAAACCCUGUCUCUACUAAAAAUACAAAAAUUAGCUAUUCAGGAGGCCAAGGCAGGGGAAUUGCUUGAACCUGGAUGGCAGAGGUUGCAGUGAGCUGAGUUCAUGCCACUGCACUCCAGCCUGGGCGACAGAAUGAGACUCCGUCUCAAAAAAAAAAAAAAAAAAAAAAAGGUUUUCAAGCCAAGUCUCAGAAGGCACAGGAGGUGGUUGCUGUAGCAAUCAUCUUUUAUUUUAUUUAUUUGAGACAGAGUCUCGCUCUGUCGCCCAGGCCGGAGUGCAGUGGCAGGAUCUCAGCUCCUGACCUCAUAAUCCGCCUGCCUCGCCCUCCCAAAGUGGUGGGAUUACAGGGAUUACCGUGCCUGGCCAGCAGUCAUCUUUUACAAUGAACAAAUAGGGCUGGGCGCGGUGGCUCACAUCUGUAAUCCUAGCACUUUGGGAGAUGGGCAGAUCACGAGGUCAGGAGACCAGCCUGGCCAACAUGGUGAAACCUCGUCUCUACUAAAAAUACAAAAAUUAGCUGGGUGUGGUGAUGCACGCCUGUAAUCCUAGCUACUCAGGAGGUUGAGGCAGGAGAAUCGCUUGAACCCGGGAGGUGGAGGUUUCAGUGAGCUGAGAUUGCACCACUGCACUCCAGCCUGGGCGACAGACAGACCAAGACUCCAUCUCAAAAAAAAAAUAAAUAAAUAAAUAAAAAUAAGUCAGGCACAGUGGCUCACGCAUGCCUGUAAUCACAGCCCUGUGGGAGGGUGAGGCAUGAGGAUCGCUUGAGGCCAGGGGUUUGAGACUAGCUUGGGCAACAUAGUGAGACCCUAUCUCUACAAAAAGUAAAAUGAACAAAUAAAUAUAGCAACUACAUAUCAGAACUUGGAGGCACUUAUUAGCUAUUAGUCCUGAGUACUUGUAAACACUGAAUAGAAGCUAGCCAAAUUUUUAAUUCUAAUAAUAGCUAAUACUGAUUACUGAAGGCUAUGUGCAAGGCACUGUUCCAAGUGUUGUUUUUUUUUUUUUUGUAUUAACUCAUUAAAUCCUCACAAUCACCCUGUACAAGUAUUAUUACUGUCUCCAUGUUACAGGGAGGGAAACUGACGCACAAGGAGACUACGUACCUGCCCAAGUUACACAGCAGUGGAUUGGAAGCAGAGGUUCUGUUCCAGCAGCCACAUGUCCCCUCCAAGGUGAAGCUAUAAUACUGAUGCCUGAAUCUUUGGGGGAGGAGGCAAGUCAAGUGGGCAGAGAUUAUCCCUAUUUGAGACAAGUUUCAGAGAGGGGAAGUGACUUGACCAAUGUCACACGGCUGACAAACACUUAAAACUGAUGCUGGAACUGGAUCUUUUGCAUCUAAGCCAAGGGCUCUACUCACUGUUCCAAUCUACCACCAGUGCCCAAGCAUGGAGGGGACAGGGAUCUGGGCUGGUAAUAGGGACUUCCAGCCCAAGACAGGUGCAGUGAUGAUUCAGAGCCUCCUGAGAAUCAUCAAGUCUAGUAAAUUAUAAGUCGCAAUGACAAUUACAUCAGCUAAAGUUUAUGAUGCUUACUAUGUGCCAUUGUUCUAAGGCUCAAAAUGCAUUAACUUUUAAGCUGGGCGUGGUGGCUCAUGCCUAUAAUCCCAGCAUUUUGGGAGGCCGAGGCGGGUGGAUCAUUAAGGUCAGGAGUUUGAGACCAGCCUGGCCAACACGGUGAAACCCUGUCUCUACUGUGGCCGGGUGCAGUGGCUCACGCCUGUAAUCCUAGCAGUUUGGGAGGCCAAGGCGGGCAGAUCACUUGAGGUCAGGAGUUCGAAACCAGCCUGGUCAACAUGGUGAAAGACCGUCUCUACUAAAAAUACAAAAAAAUUAGCUGGGUGUGGUGGCUGGCGCCUGUAAUCCCAGCUACUUGGGAGGCUGAGGCAGAAUUGCUUGAACCUGGGAGGUAGAGGUUGCAGUGAGCCCAGAUCAUGCCACUGCACUCCCACCUGGGCAACAGAGUGAAAUUCCAUCUCAAAAAAAAAAAAAAAAAAAAAAAAAAAAAAGGCCAGGUGUGGUGGUGCAUGCCUGUAAUCCCAGCUAUUCAGGUAGCCAAGGUACGAGAAUUGCUUGAACCAAGGAGGUGGAGGUUGGAGGUUGCAGUGAGCUGAGACUGCCCCACUGAACUCCAGCCUAGGUAACAGAGACUGUCUCAAAAAAAAAAAAAAAAGCAUUAACUUUUAAUCUUCACAUACCCUAUGGUCCCCAGUAUACAGAUGAGGAAACGAAAGAGCUCAGAGUUCUGGGAAACACGCUCAAAAUCACGUCAGUAAGCUUUUCUGGUUCCCCAGGAGGAUGCUUACCAAAGCUUAGACAUGCUGGUGUGACACAGUCAAAUUGUAAAAACAGAAAGACACACACGUGGCCUUGCCUGGCAAUAAAUAUUUUAAUUUGUUUCAUUUUUAUGAUG
rnacentral:lncRNA from 1 species